rnacentral:rRNA from 1 species
AAAGAAAGCUGGCGGCAUGCCUAACACAUGCAAGUCGAACGAGACCUUCGGGUCUAGUGGCGCACGGGUGCGUAACGCGUGGGAACCUUCCCUUAGGUUCGGAAUAACUCCCCGAAAGGGGUGCUAAUACCGGAUAAUGUCUUCGGACCAAAGAUUUAUCGCCUUUGGAUGGGCCCGCGUUGGAUUAGCUAGUUGGUAGGGUAAAAGCCUACCAAGGCGACGAUCCAUAGCUGGUCUGAGAGGAUGAUCAGCCACACUGGGACUGAGACACGGCCCAGACUCUUACGGGAGGAAGUAGUGGGGAAUAUUGGACAAUGGGCGAAAGCCUGAUCCAGCAAUGCCGCGUGAGUGAUGAAGGCCUUAGGGUUGUAAAGCUCUUUUACCCGGGAUGAUAAUGACAGUACCGGGAGAAUAAGCUCCGGCUAACUCCGUG